rnacentral:lncRNA from 1 species
UGCAUACCGGUCUAUAUUUCAGAAUAGGAGUUCUUAUUAUAGCCAUGCUCACCCAGUCCCAUUAUUCGCAUUAAUAAAAACCUUGCAGUAAUUUCUUAGUAUAGAGUACUCUCCCAUUGAAAGAUGACUUUAUCUUCCAGUUUUAUUAUAUCAACUUAUGCAUGCAAAUAUUAUUUCAUUUCAAAUUGAAUAAGGUCAUAAGUAUACCAUUUAUAAAUGUAGACGAAAAGUUAAGAUUUUAUUCACCUUGUUCAUGAAGUUUUUUGACCAUAAUUCAAUAUUUUUGAUUAUCCCUCAUUAUAUACAUUUGUUCCUUGGUUUUUUUUUUUUUUGUAAAAUGUACAUUUUAUAUACAUUUGUACACAUAUACAUAUUGUGGAAUACAACAUCAAAACAAGCUUUUUAGCAAUAAAUAUUUUUGAAGCAUUCUUUUUAACUGUAUUUUCCAAAGAACUGAAAUCCAUGUUGUUUUGUAGUUAACUGAUUAUGCUCAAGAAUUAAAAAAAAGUAUGAUUGUGCUCAAAAAUUGAAAAAAAGUAUGAUUAUGCUCAAGAAUUAAAAAAAGGGGGUGUGUAUAAUGUUCAAGAAUGAGCGAAAGUUAGUGUGUGUAAUACAUUUACAUCUUUGUGUGAUAUCUUUUUAUUAAUAUGGCAACUUGAUAAUUAAUAUUGCCGUUUGUUAUUUGAAAGCAUUGGAUGCUAGCAAUAUUUUUCUAUCUUGAGCAAGAAGCAGGAUAUGAAAAAUUAUCACAAAUAAAGAUCAAAUGAAAAAUGCAUAUGAUAGCAAAAAAGACGCUUUGCACAGAAAUUUUGUUUGACCCUGGUAUACAGAUUUGUAUCUUGACAAUUGUUUUAUUCACCUUUCUUAAUCAGGGAAUGUCUUUUGUUAAUAUCAUCAUCACUUCAAAAAAAGGUAAAAACAAAAGGAUUGCUUCCUUGUAAGGUAAUUAAUUUCAUAGCAUAUUUUAAAAAAAAAUGUAUACUUACAUUUAUGGUAUAGAUGUGAUAUGUUUGACAAUUUCUGUAAACAUUGUGGGAAUUAGUUGGUAAUAAAUGUUCAUACUUGUAGUUGAGGCAGAUUUAAUUGAUUCUCAUGAGAUUUUACCAAAGUGGAGUGACAUAUUAUUUUGCCAUUUUUGAGAUUCCUGAAAUGGAAUAAUGUGGUGACAUUCAUUUGAAUUGUUAUUAAAUGGAGGUAACAUUUAUAUACAUAUAAUUCGAUUGUGUUUGUGUGUAGGUUGUGCGGAACAGAAAUCAGUAUGUGCCAUAUGUUUAAUUAUGUAGCCAGGUUUUUUCAUAAUGAACGAAAGACUUUUAGAAAAUGUCUUUUAUUCAAAAGUAGUAUAGCUAAGAACGAACUUCAAGAAAAAAAUCAAUCUUGUUACAUGUAUGCUUGUCUUGUAAUGAACACAAUUGAAUCAGUGGCUAGUUAAAAAGGUUAAUAUUUACAACUUACUUAAUUAUAUUUUGUUUAUUUGAUUGUUAAUAUAUAUUAGAAGAUUAGAUAUUUAGAUUUACUUAAAGAGUGUAUUUUAUUUUGUUUAUUUAGAUAUUUAAGUGUUGAAUUAUUUAUAACAUAAUCCUAAUCUAAAUACCGGUUUACAUUUAUAUGAAGUCUGAUUUUUAUAAUAUUUAUGUUCUACUUGAAUGAAAGUGAAUAUUAGGAGUAUGGAUUAAGAUGGAAUAGAUAUUCCAAAUGUCACUGCAUGUUAAAAAGUCACCAUGAGAAAAAAUACCAACACAAAAUAAUGUUUCAUUGUUACCAUGGUCAUUUGUGCACAGGACGUUUGCGCUUUUUUACCUUUAAAACUAUAGGACAUUUGCGCUUUAAAUUUUGAAUCACUUGUAUUAAAUUGACCAGACAUUUGCGAAAUGUCCGCUUUUUAUAUUUGUCAUUAUAACGACAAAUGAUGCAGAAUCCUUCCAUGCCCACUUUAAUGAACAGGUCUACUCACUCAUUCUGCUAAUUUUCUUUUCUUUUUGAAGAGCAUCAUUUCACAACAGUCGGUGAAUUACAUUAAGAUUUGUUUAUUUAUGAACAGGCACCGCAGAAUUGAGAAACAUGAUUAUUUAUUUGAAAUAUGGGCGAAAUACCAUUCAGAACAGAUAACAAGAGCUGAUUUUUUUCAGUCCUUGGGCUUCAGAUAUCAAGCAGAAACUGACCUGUUAUGACUGUACAUGUUUUCAUGUCUUUAGAAUGUUUUCUUUUACUAGUUUUAGCUAUAUAUAUAAACUUUUUAACAUAUAUCUGUGUGCUAAGAAAUGUGCCAUGCAAUGAUUUUUAAACUUUUAACCCUGCCAGGUAUUAACCUGCCGGUCCCAAGCCCAGAUAAAAGAGGAGGAUAGUCAUAAAAACCAAAUAUGUUAAAAGUGCAAAUGUCCAUUUUUAAAAAGAGCAAAUGUCCUAUGAUUUGAAGAGCAAGUGUAUAAAAAUAAAAGCACAAAUGUCCUAUGAAAAAGCGCAAAUGUCCCGUGCCGGGUCAAUUAUGCAAUGUGAAAAAAAAAUUCUGAAUUCUCUGACUAUUGAUAAAUUUUGAUAUUGUCUAAACAGGUUUUGGAUCCUGUUAGGUUUCUAUAUUUUUACCAUGUUUUGGCCAAAUAAGUUCCAUAUUAACCUUACACAUUUGACUCAUGUUUUGUUGUUAUUUUCAAGUUUAAACAUGUUUUAUUAAAAAUCACCUGUCACAUAAAACCUACAUUGUCCAGAGAAGCAAUACCACAUUAUUACAAAAUAUCAUUUGCGUAGGGUAAUUAUACUCAUGUUUUAACUUCAAUAUUUCAAUACAUAAUUAUUUCAUUUAAAUAAAAAUAAAUGAAUUAAUUGUGGUAAUGUCUAUUUGUAGCUUAGAAAGCAAUCAAAUGUUUUAAGACUGCAAUAUGCAUUGUUACAAUUUUCUUUUUUAACAAUUCCUUAUUAUUUUUAUACGACCGCGAAAAAAAAUUUUGCGUCGUAUAAUGGUAGGAUGUUGUCGUCGCCCCAAGACACAUUUAGUUUCCGGACA